rnacentral:rRNA from 1 species
UACGUAGGGGGCAAGCGUUGUCCGGAAUCAUUGGGCGUAAAGAGCGUGUAGGCGGCCCGGUAAGUCCGUUGUGAAAGCUUGGGGCUCAACCCCAAGUCUGCAGUGGAUACGGGCAGGCUAGAGUCAGGUAGGGGAGAACGGAAUUCCUGGUGUAGCGGUGAAAUGCGCAGAUAUCAGGAGGAACACCGGUGGCGAAGGCGGUUCUCUGGGCCUGUACUGACGCUGAGGAACGAAAGCGUGGGGAGCGAACAGG